rnacentral:rRNA from 1 species
UGACCUCAUUGGGGGUAGGACAACCCGC